rnacentral:rRNA from 1 species
GACGAACCGUGCGAACGUUGUUCGGAUUCACUGGGCUUAAAGGGCGCGUAGGCGGGCGGUCAAGUCGGGGGUGAAAUCUUUCAGCUUAACUGGAAAAGUGCCUCCGAUACUGAUCGCCUCGAGGGAGGUAGGGGCAUGUGGAACUUCCGGUGGAGCGGUGAAAUGCGUAGAUAUCGGAAGGAACGCCGGGUGGCGAAAGCGACGUGCUGGACCUCUUCUGACGCUGAGGCGCGAAAGCUAGGGGAGCGAACGGG